CCAUGAGGUUGACGGCUAUACAUAACGGGCCAAAGCGGACAAUAUCUGCUAACGGUAGGUUUGGGGUGUUACAGAUAGUAUUAGAGCAAACACCAGGGAGUGUGUCAGAGAGGACGCUGGUCCCCAAGGGGGUGGAUUGUGAGAUCUCACAUCGAUAGGAAAGGGGAAAGAAGCAUUCCUU